AUUAAAGCAACUUGGGUGGUAACCAUUCCAAAAUACUUAGGGCCACAUUGCUCUAAAAGUCAAUAAGAAUAAGUAAUAAUUCAAAGAUAGCCAACCUUAUAGUAUAUUUUAAUAUGAAUGUAUGCAUGUUUCCUAGAAGGUGAGUAAGCUAACUAAUCAAGAUACUUUGUUGGAGUUAAAUAUGGUAAAGAAUCCAACUAUAAAAUGGGGACUUGCCCCAGCAUUCUUUCACAAACCAAAACCAACUUCUAAGAAAAAAAUGAGGUCCCUAAUGGCCUCUGCUUCUCUCACUCUUGCAUUAGCCAUCCUCUUUUUGAGUUUCCCAUCUGAAAUUUCAGCAAACAAAUACGCAUAUUCCUCUCCACCACCACCACAUUACUCAUCUCCUCCACCUCCACCGGUUCACACUUACCCUAAACCAGUCUACCACUCUCCACCACCACCAGUUCACACCUACCCUAAACCAGUUUACCACUCUCCACCACCACCAGUUCACAAGUACCCUCACCCUAAACCAGUAUACCACUCUCCACCACCCCCAGUUCACAAGUACCCUCAUCCACACCCAGUCUACCAUUCUCCACCACCCCCAGUUCACAAGUACCCCCAUCCUCACCCAGUGUACCACUCUCCCCCACCACCACCACCAAAGAAGUCCUACAAAUACCCAUCUCCCCCACCACCACCAGUUCACACCUACCCUAAACCAGUCUACCACUCUCCUCCACCCCCAGUUCAUCACACCUACCCUAAACCAGUCUACCACUCUCCUCCACCCCCAGUUCACACCUACCCUCACCCUAAACCAGUCUACCACUCUCCACCACCCCCAGUUCACACUUACCCUAAACCAGUCUACCACUCCCCACCACCACCAGUUCACACCUACGUCCCUCACCCUAAGCCAGUCUACCACUCUCCACCACCACCAGUUCACACCUAUCCCCCACAUGUUCCCCACCCAGUUUACCAUUCUCCUCCUCCUCCAGUUCAUUCCCCACCUCCACCACACUAUUACUACAAAUCACCUCCUCCACCUUACCACAACUAGAUAGCCCAUAAUUGGCAUCACACCAUAUGGUAACUUUUCAUGCAACAUAUAUAUUAUAACUUUUCAUAUUCUCUCUUUAUUAACUAGUUAUCGGUAUGAUUGUCGAGUAUAUACUAACAAGGCUAAUUUGAAAUGAAACUUCAUGUGCAAUGAAACAUUCUUUUACUGGUUAAUAUUUUAUUCUAUGUUUCAUUGAAAUUAAUAUUUUUCUAAUAGUAUUUGGUUAUUAAGGGAUUAGAGUAUAUCAGACAUAAACUGACAGAUCAAUAUAUUUGCAUUUGUGUAGGAUCUAAAC
rnacentral:lncRNA from 1 species